rnacentral:rRNA from 1 species
UACGGAGGGAGCUAGCGUUGUUCGGAAUUACGUGGGCGUAAAGCGCACGUAGGCGGCUCAGCAAGUCAGGGGUGAAAUCCCGGGGCUCAACCCCGGAACUGCCCUUGAAACUGCUAAGCUAGAAUCCUGGAGAGGCGAGUGGAAUUCCGAGUGUAGAGGUGAAAUUCGUAGAUAUUGGAAGAACACCAGUGGCGAAGGCGACUCGCUGGACAGGUAUUGACGCUGAGGUGGCGAAAGCGUGGGAGCAAACA